AGCUGUUGUCCGUGUGUUAUUGCUUACAAUGAUUCUCCAUCAACGUUGAUUAUGGUGACCGAGGGAUCGAGAACCGAGGGGAUUAGAGUCCAUUACAACAUUAACCCUUUCAGCUUGGUGUCAGAAGUGGGAUAGAAGUUGGAUCAGCAAAACCAUUUGCGGUGAGUAGCCUUUUUGUGUCUUAUUUGACGCUGAUUGUCUAUGACCCCCCUUUGGUUCAGUAAGACUGUAUCCAGUAGAUAGGAAAGGUGUAA
rnacentral:lncRNA from 1 species